GUUUGCAGCUUAUCUAGGUCAAAAUUUGAAUUCAACCGAUGGACAAGAAGUGCGCGUCUCCUUGCCGUUCAUAUUUAAUGUGUUUUUCAAGCUUUAUACACAAGGAUUAAGGUUGGAAUAUCAACUUCUGCUCAUUUGUCGUAAGGUUCAAUCAACCAGUGGUGUAGGGAAUUGAUUGUAUAGUCAGCCUUGAUUGCAUCAGAUUCUUCGCCCGUGAAAAUCAUAUACAAAGGAAUGCAACAUUUUGCUUUUGCUUUAGAGGGUGGAUUCUCCUGUUCAUUUCUUUCAUUCGUGGGACUUAACUAUAUGCGUGAUUAAAAUCAAUGGAUCCGCCACUUUGUGGAACUUAACAGUGUAAGGCAAACGCGUACUUUGAAGGACCUGGAUGUGAUUACUGUGACCCACU